UCGUACCUAGCAGAAAACACAAUUCAAAAACUAUAUUCUUUGAUACUGAGUAUACUACCAUUGUCAGCCAUAUAAAAAAAAGAUAAUCACCUAUUCCUACAGCUGGCAGAACUGAAUUUGAAGCAGCAGAACUUAUUAUCUGGAGGCAAUCAUUUUUAUGACCAGUACGCCAAUGCAGUGCCUGAGAAACAGCAAUCAAGAGCCAUCAAUCUAAAAUAUAAGUUUGUAUCAGCUGUCAGAAACGAAAUGAUGGACACUAAAGUUUGGCAUACAUACCUGAUGUUUCUAAGGGCCUGUUUGUUUACCCCAAUGGAUUAUAUAAUCUGGAUUAUUUUUGGAGGAUUAUAUAAUCUGGAUUAUAUAAUUUGGAUUAUAUAAUCUGAGUAGUCAUGUUUGUUUACCCAGAUUAUCUGGCGUGUUUCUGUUGGGCGACGGGCUUCUCCGAUCCGAUAGGCGCAAAAACGAUUCGGUAGAUUAUAAUGGCAAUGGUGGGUAAUUUCUAGGAAACUUGAAAGGGUAGUGGGGAAGUGGGAAAAAAAUAAUCUGAAAUAAGCACCUCCUCACUUGCUUAUGGAUUAUCAUAAUCCAAGAGGUUAGAUUAUAUAAUCUGGGCAAAUAAGCUAGACUGUUUGUUUGCCUCUUAGGAUUAUUUAAUCCAGAUUAUAUAAUCUGGGGGGUAAACAAACAGGCC
rnacentral:lncRNA from 1 species